CAAGUAGUCAACCAAAUACCAGUAAAAUAGCCCUCACCAUAGCCCCACUGCCACCAGAUGGCGCUAUUAUUCUUUACAUAUUUUGUCACCCACAGAGCAGCAUACCUAGGCAACCUUUCAGGCUUAUCUCUGCGCCUUCAGUUCCCUCAGGAGAAGUCUUCCCUCACUCCCCAUCCACCCCCAUGAAACAACACCUCUGAUAAGGGCGUCUAUGUGAUUUUUGCACUUGCGUAGGAGAGGAGACGGAGUGAUUCCAACGGCACUUGACACCCAGCGGGGCAAGGUGGUCACUGACCUGGAUGACUUUCAAGCAAAAGGACCAAAGAGCUCUCCAAGGAUGUCAGGGACAAGAUUGUAGACCUACACACGACUGGAAUGGGCUACAAGACCAUCGCCAAGCAGCUUGGUGAGAAGGCAUCGACGUCGACUUUCAUCAGAAUGAACAACAAGAAGAAGAUCACAACGGAUGCUUAUCACAAUAGGGGAGAAACCAUCACAACGGGUCCAUCAAAGGCCUUCGAGCUGAAAUCAGCCAAGUUGGAGUCCCCCUGCACAGCUGGUAUCUGUGCUCUCCCUUCAUCUUGGAGUUCUUAAUGGCCCCUAUGGCUGGAGAACUUACCCAGACGAAUCACACAGUCCUCAUCCAUACACCCAGUACAGCCUUUUGUGUCCUAAAUCUAAGAGCAGUCUAUAAUGGCCCAACCUAGUCUAAGGGUAUCCAUUACAAAACAAGGGGAUUGUUUUGCAGGUUUUUUUUUUAUCUUCCCGCUUGUAAUGUUGAUGAAACGUGGCAAGGCUUAAUCAGCAAAUCUCUAUUUUUCAUCAUGCAAAUUAUUUUCUGUCAAUGCAUAUAAAUAAAUCACCAUAUUGGGAUGAAAUGCAUCCUCCCUCUUGCCUGUGACUCAGAUGUGGCUCUGCACUAAUGGCUGUUUUCCUUUGUGGGCCACUUGGUGAUGAUCAAAAACAGAAGGAGGUCUGAGAGGGAGGGUGCAAGACGGGGAGAAAUCAAAUGAGCCUAGUGGAAUCCAUGGUGCAUGGCAGCUGGCAGAUUGCUUAUCGGGAACGAUGCACAAUAUCCUGACUUUAAGAUGUCUAUCUGGGAGGCGGUGGCUUAAACCAGCAGCUUCAUGCCUCUUAAAGAAGACAGUACAUUUUUGGCUUUCGCUUCCUUCUCAGAUAAGGAUUCUCACGGAAAGGUGUCCUCUUUGGCCUUAUCACCCCACUGCAUCGGGCCGUCUCAGAAUUAGUUGCCUGAGCUGAGCUAUCCUGAGGGUAGGGUUCGAGGCUGGGGGGCGCUGGUGUCCUCUCAGGCAGCUAGCUACAGCAGAAAAUCCUAACAGGACACAGCAGUAUGAAACGCAGUGUGUACAGUAUAUCAAUAGACUAAAGCUGUCCCCUCUUCUCGUCUUCUAUCCCUCAUCAGCACAGAUCUGAAAGCAGGGUAUGUGAAAGCAAUCUGCUGGAUGGAUAGGCUAUCUAUUGCUUACCGGGGAGUUGCUUUCAUUUUCAAUGUCUUUUCAUAUCAGUGCAAAUGGAAAGGAUACAAGGAAAGGAAACGAUUUUAGAUCAUUGAGAUCCCUGGAGUGCCAAACCAAAAUAUUACCCAAUAGUUCCAGGAGCACAGGGGUAUUUCCUGUGUGUCAGGUUUUCAGUGGAAGCAAGUGGCUGUCAUGCCAUCAUUCAAAAUAGUUCCCUUUAAGUGUUUUCUUUGCCUUUUUUGUAAAUAACAUAAUCAUUGUUUGAAUCAUACAUCUCUGGGAACGCACAAGCUUCAGUGUCCAUCAAACUAUUCAGAGGCAGUGAUGCAUUUAUCUGCUGACUAUCAACAAACUAAAACAAUUCUAUCUUUCAUUUGUUUCAUGAAUUCACAUUAACUACUGUAUAUCUUGUUCAGAUUUUUGGAAGUAUACAACCAGCCAGCACAUAAAGUUCUGAGAAUCACAUGUUUCUCAGAGCUUGGUGAGAGCGUGCUUGUCCUAAGGUUAUUUUUCAUACAACCUUCCCACAACAUUCUGGGAAUGGUGCAGGAUAGUUUAUUGGCUUUGGAUCAUUCUCAGCACAUUUAAAGAACUUAACCAAACAACAUUAUUUGUUUGGUAUUUCAUAAUUUUAACAGGAUGUUGCCAAAUAGUUCAAAAUGGGUUACAUUUUUUUCUUUAAUUGUCAUGUUCUAGGAAUGUUCUCCAACUUGUUUGAAAUUGGGAAUGUUCUCACAUAGUUCAUUUGUAGUAGGUUUACACAUGGUUCUAUUUAAAGUCAUGUUCUCAGAACAUUAAGAAAACAUUACAUAAAAAAACACAAGAAAACAGUAAAAUUCUAAGAAUGUUGUUUAGAGAGUUUCGUUUUAUAUAAACAUAUGCAUUCUGUUCUCUGCAUCAACAAAACUCUCUAUCUUCUAAAGUGUGUUGGUCAUCACACCUGAUCUUAUUGAGUGCGUCUUUCCUUUGAAAUGGGGUCUAUUUUAUUUAUAAUUGAACUAGGUAAGUCGGUUAAGAACAAAUUCUUAUUUACAAUGACAGCCUAGGAACAGUGGGUUAACUGCCUUGUUCGGUGGCAGAAUGACAGAUUUUUACCUUGUCAACUUGGGGAUUCGAUCUAGGAACCUUUUGGUUACUGGCCCAAUGCUCUAACCACUAGGCUACCUGCCACCCUAAUAGACUAAAAUGAACAGCUUUGAGUGAGUAUCCUGGUGGCGCAGUGGCCUAAUUCCAUGGAUAGAGAACAGAAAAUCAUAGGUUAGAAUCUUACUGAUGUCGUGCCACAAUAAAAAAAAAGAAACAUGUUUGCAUGAUUAAUGCCUAAGAAAAGUAAUUUACAUGUGUCAUAUCUGUGCUUGGAGUUUAAAACAAUUAACCUAAGCUAGCAUUGUUAUUAAAAGUCUUAUUGAAACAUUCAGUGAAAGUGUUAAGGAAGUUAUUCGAAACCCUCUAAAUAACCUACAGUUUUCAUUCUUAAAACCUCCCAGGAAAACUUUCGGGACCAUAGUAAAACGUUCUCAGAACGACCUGCAACUUAAAAAUGUACAUUCCUAGAACAGUCUAAAAGUUCACUUCCGUUCUCAAAACAUUUAACUGGUCAGGAAACUGAUGUCAUUGUUCCCAGAACCAAUGGGAAACCAAAAACGUAUGUUCCCAGAACUUCCAAGGAACCAAAUGGGCUGUGCUAGCGGGGCAGUAUCUGAGUUCACAUUAAAGUGACGCUCCAGAGUUUUUAAUAAUUUCAGCAAGUAGUUGUUUUGAAAAUAGUCCCCAAAAAUGUUGCACAAUUGUGUAAUACGUCAUCCCUUAUGAAUCGUUAAGUGCUUAAGAUCCCGGACUGCAUCUUUAACUACUGUGUAUCUUGUUGGUACUUUUGGUACAGUUUCCCCAAGUUUGGCGCCAACCUCUCUAUCAACCUGGAAAAGCUUCACCGGGGCGUGAACCGGGUUGUCACAAUACCUCGUCUGCAUUUGUCUGUGGUCUGCUAGCAGGAUCAUUACUCACACUGCGCAGAAUGUGCAUGAAGCGAUAUGGUCGCCAAAAGUUUAUUUUGAAUGCAGAAGCUACUGAUGCCGAACUGUACAGGUUAGACCUGUUGAAAGUCUAAUCUCCUGGUCAGCCUCAUAUUGACUGCCAGUUCACACCACUACUGCAGAAGAACUGCACGUAGGCACCUCUCACACUGGUGGGACCAGAGCCAACAUGGAGGGAGGAAAAAACUCAUGCUGGUAGCUUUGAUAAAGUAUCAGUUUCUUUACAUCAUCUAAACAACCAUGUGUUCUGAAUGCAUCAGCAAUGUCUGGAGAUAGUAAAGAAUGCAACUGUAUACAAACUUUCCAAGACCUAAACUAGCGAAGGUUCCAAAUAAGGAACAGCCAUUUUGGAUCUUCUUUGUGGAACGGUUUCUUAAUUUGCUAUUGUGCUCCUGUAUGGACUUGCGGGCAUUAUAUCCAUCAGGUUUAUCAGGGUUUCUGAUUUCAAAAGAAUCGGAGGGACUGUUUCGGCACUAUUUUCAGGUUGUCUUGGUGUGCCUCUGGAACGGAGCCAGUCUCUGCGUUAGUGUCCAAGUUCAACAAUCUCAGAUACAAGACAGUGGUGCUAAUUAAUCUAUAGCUACCAGAGCAUGUCAGUAUUUGCAUUAUGCAAUUGCAGGGGGAGACGAGGCACUCUUUUUCAUUGGGCACCUGAGGACUUCUUCAGUUUACAUAUUUGGGAGAAUUGUCCUCCAUGUCACAUGCCUAUCCAAUGCCAGGACUGGGUUUUAUCUUAACUUUAGAUCUGGGAAGUUAUCAUCUGAUCUGAAAACAGACAUUUUAUACUUCUCCAGUGCACAGACAGAGAUUCCAUCUGAUUCAGGACCCUUUUUCUAAAAAGCAUCAACGAACAGAAGAGUAACUUACAAAAAGAAUUCAAUUGUUGCAAGAAAAGUACACUUAUUUUUUUUAUUUUUUGCUUCUA